UCUACGGGUGGCAGCAGUGAGGAAUAUUGGUCAAUGGGCGUAAGCCUGAACCAGCCAAGUCGCGUGAGGGAUGAAGGUUCUAUGGAUCGUAAACCUCUUUUAUAAGGGAAUAAAGUGCGGGACGUGUCCCGUUUUGUAUGUACCUUAUGAAUAAGGAUCGGCUAACUCCGUGCUAGCAGCCGCGGUAAUACGGAGGAUCCGAGCGUUAUCCGGAUUUAUUGGGUUUAAAGGGUGCUUAGGCGGGUUAUCAAGUCAGCGGUAAAUCGUGGAGCUCAACACCAUCCAGCCGUUGAAACUGAUGAUCUUGGGUGGGCGAGAAGUAUGCGGAAUGCGUGGUGUAGCGGUGAAAUGCAUAGAUAUCACGCAGAACUCCGAUUGCGAAGGCAGUAUACCGGCGCCCGACUGACGCUGAAGCACGAAAGCGUGGGUAUCGAACAGGAUUAGAUACCCGGGUAGUC
rnacentral:rRNA from 1 species